rnacentral:rRNA from 1 species
AGUGAACGCUGGCGGUAGGCCUAACACAUGCAAGUCGAACGGCAGCACAGUAAGAGCUUGCUCUUACGGGUGGCGAGUGGCGGACGGGUGAGGAAUACAUCGGAAUCUACUUUUUCGUGGGGGAUAACGUAGGGAAACUUACGCUAAUACCGCAUACGACCUACGUGUGAAAGCAGGGGAUCUUCGGACCUUGCGCGAUUGAAUGAGCCGAUGUCGGAUUAGCUAGUUGGCGGGGUAAAGGCCCACCAAGGCGACGAUCCGUAGCUGGUCUGAGAGGAUGAUCAGCCACACUGGAACUGAGACACGGUCCAGACUCCUACGGGAGGCAGCAGUGGGGAAUAUUGGACAAUGGGCGCAAGCCUGAUCCAGCCAUACCGCGUGGGGGAAGAAGGCCUUCGGGUUGUAAAGCCCUUUUGUUGGGAAAGAAAAGCAGCAGGUUAAUACCCCGCUGUUCUGACGGUACCCAAAGAAUAAGCACCGGCUAACUUCGUG